rnacentral:rRNA from 1 species
UACGUAGGGACCAAGCGUUGUUCGGAUUUACUGGGCGUAAAGGGCGCGUAGGCGGCGCGGUAAGUCACUUGUGAAAUCUCUGAGCUUAACUCAGAACGGCCAAGUGAUACUGCAGUGCUAGAGUGUGGAAGGGGCAAUCGGAAUUCUUGGUGUAGCGGUGAAAUGCGUAGAUAUCAAGAGGAACACCUGAGGUGAAGACGGGUUGCUGGGCCAACACUGACGCUGAUGCGCGACAGCGUGGGGAGCAAACAGG